rnacentral:rRNA from 1 species
AAGCAUCUAAGCGUGAAGCCCCCCUCAAGAUGAGAUUUCCCAUGGAGUUAAUCCAGUAAGACCCCUUAGAGAAGAUGAGGUAGAUAGGUCCGGUGUGGAAGUGCAGCAAUGCAUGGAGCUGACGGAUACUAAUAGGUCGAGGGCUUAACCAAAGCUC